CGUUGGGUCUGUUCCUUCCUUGUUGGCACCCCUGACACGUGUUCAGCCUUCCACGAAUUGAUUGCUGUCUCCGUUUCAGGUUAAAGUUACCAUUUGAAGGUGCAGCCACCCAUGCUUUCACCUGAUUCUUUACUUAACAAAACACGAGACAAGAGACCAGCACGCAGACCCUCCCAGGCAAUCCUGGAUCCCGAAUCUUGAAUCUCAGUGGUGAACCACUGUCUGAGAGGGAGAAGAGUCAUCACCCUUAUUUCCUUCAUGGAUUCUCUCCUUAAUUUUGGUAGGAAAAAGGAAAAGAGGAAAACUUCUUUGUGAAUUCCAGAAAAAAAAAAACCCACAUAGAUCAUUCUUUACAGAAUACAAAGGAUAAGAAAAAAAAUUAACACAGAUUUUGAGGGGAGAAAUACUGAGACUGCUGACACUGGUGGGUUUCCAUUCUCACAUUAAACUAAGAAGUGAUUCUUCAGCUGGGAUGGAGGUGUGAUGAGGUGAAUGAGGAAUAUUUGUAAGACUUACUAUCUGUUUUCCACUAGGAAGGUCAUUAAACCUUUGUCUGAGCGUUAGAACAGCCAAAUUUAGAAGCAUGCAUUUUAAUGGGUUUAAUCAUCUAUAGGCACCUAACAAUCCGGGAUUUACGUUUGAAAUAAUUUGUUUACUUCAUUUCUGAUUACAAAAUUAGUAUGUGUUCUCUCUAAGAAAUUAAGAAAAUGUAAACAAAAACAAGAAAAAUCUUAAUGCUAAGAAGUAACUAUCAUUACCAUUUUGUUUUACAUCCUUUCAAGAUUUUGUAUUCAUAUGUGCAAAUAUUAAAAUUUAAAAUAUC